AACGAACGCUGGCGGCAGGCCUAACACAUGCAAGUCGAGCGAACCCUUCGGGGUUAGCGGCGGACGGGUUAGUAACGCGUGGGAAUAUACCCUUUGGUACGGAAUAGCCUCGGGAAACUGAGAGUAAUACCGUAUGUGCCCUUCGGGGGAAAGAUUUAUCGCCAAAGGAUUAGCCCGCGUUGGAUUAGAUAGUUGGUGGGGUAAUGGCCUACCAAGUCUACGAUCCAUAGCUGGUUUGAGAGGAUGAUCAGCAACACUGGGACUGAGACACGGCCCAGACUCCUACGGGAGGCAGCAGUGGGGAAUCUUAGACAAUGGGCGCAAGCCUGAUCUAGCCAUGCCGCGUGAUCGAUGAAGGCCUUAGGGUUGUAAAGAUCUUUCAGUUGGGAAGAUAAUGACGGUACCAACAGAAGAAGCCCCGGCUAACUCCGUGCCAGCAGCCGCGGUAAUGUACAGUGU
rnacentral:rRNA from 1 species